rnacentral:rRNA from 1 species
CACAGAGGUCUCAAGCGUUGUUCGGAUUCAUUGGGCGUAAAGGGUGUGUAGGUGGCGCCGUAAGUCGGGUGUGAAAUUUCGGAGCUUAACUCCGAAACUGCAUUCGAUACUGCGGUGCUUGAGGACUGGAGAGGAGACUGGAAUUCAUGGUGUAGCAGUGAAAUGCGUAGAGAUCAUGAGGAAGACCAGUGGCGAAGGCGGGUCUCUGGACAGUUCCUGACACUGAGACACGAAGGCCAGGGGAGCAAACGGG